GACACAGUGGCCGAGUGGUUAAGGCGUCAGACUUGAAGCGCUCAUUGACCUUGGAUCCUCCCGAUCUAGCAGUAAAUGAGCCUAGAUAUCUGAUUCCCUAGGGAUCGCAGGUUCGAAUCCUGUCUGUGUCG